UCUAUCCCAGUUCGGAUUGCAGUCUGCAACUCGACUGCAUGAAGCUGGAAUCGCUAGUAAUCGUGAAUCAGAAUGUCACGGUGAAUACGUUCCCGGGUCUUGUACACACCGCCCGUCACACCAUGGGAGUCGGAUAUGCCCGAAGUCAGUGACCCAACCGCAAGGAGGGAGCUGCCGAAGGUGGAGCCGAUGACUGGGGUGAAGUCGUAACAAGGUACC
rnacentral:rRNA from 1 species